rnacentral:rRNA from 1 species
UACGGAGGGGGCUAGCGUUGUUCGGAAUUACUGGGCGUAAAGCGCACGUAGGCGGCUUUGUAAGUUAGAGGUGAAAGCCCAGGGCUUAACCCUGGAAUUGCCUUUAAGACUGCAUCGCUAGAAUUGUGGAGAGGUAAGUGGAAUUCCGAGUGUAGAGGUGAAAUUCGUAGAUAUUCGGAAGAACACCAGUGGCGAAGGCGACUUACUGGACA